GGUGGCUCAGUGGUAGAGUGCUUGCCUUGCAUGCAUAAGGCUCUGAGUUUGAUUCCUCAGCACCA
rnacentral:tRNA from 1 species